UACAGAGGUCCCAAGCGUUGUUCGGAUUCACUGGGCGUAAAGGGUGCGUAGGUGGCGGGGUAAGUCGGAUGUGAAAUCUCGGAGCUCAACUCCGAAAUGGCAUUGGAAACUACCCUGCUAGAGGGUCGGAGGGGGGACUGGAAUACUUGGUGUAGCAGUGAAAUGCGUAGAUAUCAAGUGGAACACCAGUGGCGAAGGCGAGUCCCUGGACAACACCUGACACUGAGGCACGAAAGCUAGGGGAGCAAACAGG
rnacentral:rRNA from 1 species